UACAGAGGGGGCAAGCGUUGUUCGGAAUUACUGGGCGUAAAGGGCGCGUAGGCGGCCUGUUAAGUCGAACGUGAAAUCCCCGGGCUCAACCCGGGAACUGCGUCCGAUACUGGCAGGCUUGAAUUCGGGAGAGGGAUGUGGAAUUCCAGGUGUGGCGGUGAAAUGCGUAGAUAUCUGGAGGAACACCGGUGGCGAAGGCGGCAUCCUGGACCGAUAUUGACGCUGAUGCGCGAAAGCCAGGGGAGCAAACGGG
rnacentral:rRNA from 1 species